rnacentral:misc_RNA from 1 species
AAGUCCAUGGGAUCCUUUAAAUUGAAUGUGUUAUCAGUAGUCAAACCUCCAGUCUCAAUACCAUCAGCCUCUCGCUGUCUGCUGAAUCCAUUUUCCACAAAAUCAUCACUAUGUUCCCCAGCACGAGGAAAGCCUCCCUCUACUUUAGACAGGAAAUUAUCACAUGAAGUCUUGCUUUUGCUAAUCACAGACUUCAUAUUACUGCUAAUUUUCUCUGAGUAAUCUGAAUUUGUGAUUAUGGAGGAGCGCUCCAGAAUGGAAUCACUCUCAGUAUGUUGGGAUUUCUUCAGGAGGCACUUUUUACCAUUGUUUGAUGGGGCAAACUCGGGGAUAAAAACACUUUCUUCACAG